UAGAAGAUUUGGGAGUAAAGUUGGU
rnacentral:piRNA from 1 species